rnacentral:misc_RNA from 1 species
AGCAGCAUUGGCAAUCAGUUCAUCUGCACAGCAUUUUGAAAGGGAAAAAAAAAAGGAAUAAAUCAGUGAUUUAGAAAAACAUGAAAUCUGGCAUAUAAAGAUGAAGUUAACAAAAAAGGCAAGUAAUUAAUACACUAAAAUUGAAGCAAAAAUGAAAAACUAAAUAAUCAAAAUAACAACUCUUCUUCAGGAUAAGAAAUCCAAUGAACUAUGGUUUUUGUGUGGAAUAAAAGAUAAAUAAAUAACAUUUAAACAAGAAUCAAGUGAAUAAGAUAAGAGGCACCUGUCAAACAUAAUGUAUUUUGUUAAUAGCCUUAGGUUCACAUUAGAGAAAGAGAGAACACAAAACAGCAAGAGAAUCAGUCAUCCACAAACAAACUCAAGCGAAAGAUGCAAUUAGAACAAGCCAGAUAUGUGUAAGACAAUUUUCAGUGCUAAUUUUCACUGAGAAGUGGGAAGUAUCAAAGUUGAUCCAACAAGUUCCACAGAAAGAAUGUUUAAGACAUAAAUUUAACACCCUUUAGAGUUAAAACUUGCAGGUAAAUGAUCAUGAAAAACUACAAGUCAUCUCAUAACCUUCCAUCAAGCUGAACCUAAAGAGAAGUAUACAUGGUGAAAAUAUUAUGAUGAAAAAAUGACUCGUGGAAACUUGUUUUCUAAAUUACGAUUAUGCAGAUAACAUCAACUGCAAAUAGUAAGAACAACUGACUAGUUAAAACCAAGUAGCUAUUGCUCCAAAUUAACAAAGUCUCCCUAUCAUUACAUUAAGAAUUACAGUCCACAAACCAAGAAAUAGGAUCAUUAAUUCCCAACAUGCUUAUUGAUAGAUAUCAGCUUGCCACCACCAAUUUUUCCUUAAUUUGUCUAAAAUUAGAAUUAAAAAUUACACAUUCAGAGAUGAACCAAAUCAUUACGAAAAAAAGGAGACAGAGAUGAAAAAAGUGCAUGAAAUAAUUAUCUUACUAAUACUAUUAUCUGAUAUUAACCAAUCUGGCACAAAACAGCUGUACAUCAACCUUUUUAACACAUGAUGAGCUCCAGUAUCCCCAUGGGUAGCAAUCAUUACUCGUACAGAUUUCCAGUAACAUCAAUACAGCUUUCAUUCAGAGUUAAAUAUUUAGUCUUAAGAAAAAUAUUAUAGGUACCAUAUACAGUAGGCAAAGUAGCUAGCAAGACCCUGUAAAGAUUGGCAAAUGCAAUCUCCAUCUCCCAAAGAAAAAGAAAAAUAAACCCGGUGAAAAAUAAAACUGCAAUUUCAUAUUAAUACUUCCAACAGCUAUAUUGAAAUUGUUGAACGCAUCAAGCACACAUUAUUCCUCAAAGAUUUAGCUUUUUUUUUUCUUGUUUAGCUGAUAUUUACAUAAAAACUGAAAAUAACUGUAUAAUUGCUGUUUGUAUCAAUAUUUGCAAUCACAAAGAUUGAUGAAAUUGGAAAAUUCACACCCAAAAAUCCUCGCGAUGCAACCAAACAAAUAAACAACAAUACAAUUACAUCAAACUCAGUGAAGUCAAAAGCCAUGUAGCAUAUUCUACAAAGCAAAAUUAAAGAAACUUAAAGAUAACACAAAAGAGGACCACACAUUAUAUAUAAAAAAUUAAAUAAAAUGGAUCAACAACAUACAAAAACUAAAAAUUUUCAAAACAAAAGGAAUAUUUGUCAUUGAAUUGACAUUUCUUCUCGCAAAAGAACUCUUUUUCCCAAUGCCUUUGCUAAGCUACUGAUCAAAAUUUAAGAAAAUAACCAACUGGGAUUAGUCUUUUUAAUAAACCCACAGAUUCUACAUCUAGACCAUUAUUCCAAAUAAUAAUAAUAAUAAUAAUA